UAUUGGUCUUAAUGGGCCGAGAACUCACCAAGUAUAGCCCAUGAUGUUUGAAGCGUAAAAGAUCAGCAACCGGGGUCAGCGUGUUUAGCAAGCAGUCUGUUUUCUAUAAGUUGGUUACCACGCACAUCACUGGCCUAUUCUUCACUGUCGUUCUUCUUGGCGGAGACUUCCCUCCGCUCUUUAUUCAAAGGCUGUUUCGAAUCAAACGAUCGUUACUGAAAGUUGUCGAUACUGUGGGUACAGAUUGGAGUGGAAACGAGAACCCUAAGUUUAAACCCUAACUUGAAUUCUCGACUUAUCUUUAAUUUUUUUUUCCUUUCGCCGGCUGCUCUAAUUUUCGCCUAUUUUCUAUUUUUGAAAUGAAUUUGGUCGCUUGUUUUGCAAACAAUUCUCAGUUUCCUACACGAUUCUUGCCCGCUGGCGUAUAUACUUAUUGAUGGAAUCUCCUGACCAAGUCGGUUUAAUUUCCCAGAAUCAUUGCAUGAGCAUUUCUACUUCCGGAUCUUCAACCCAAGCCCGCGGCCGUGCAGAAGUGGCCACUCUAAUGUCUUGAUCAUUCUUUAGAAUCAUAUCCGGAAGCAGUGCACCACAUAUACUGAAUGAUGAAGACAGACAAAUCUCUAAGGUCCUCAUUUUCCCUCACUUGCUACCAACUUUAUUUUCAGGAAUAUUGUAACUUGAAAUUUAAUCAAUUUUUGUGGAAGUUGGACAUUUUUGCUUUCAUGGUGGAAUUUUGUUUAUCUUUUAGUUGAUCAUGACUUGACCUGGCUUUGUAGUUACACCAAUGGUUGACAAACCAAUGAUUCCUUUUUCAGUUCUAAAGACCAAUUGUUAGUUUUGAUUUUUGCUUA